rnacentral:rRNA from 1 species
GACGAACGCUGGCGGCGUGCUUAACACAUGCAAGUCGAACGGAAAGGCCCUGCUUUUGUGGGGUGCUCGAGUGGCGAACGGGUGAGUAACACGUGAGUAACCUGCCCUUGACUUUGGGAUAACUUCAGGAAACUGGGGCUAAUACCGGAUAGGAGCUCCUGCUGCAUGGUGGGGGUUGGAAAGUUUCGGCGGUUGGGGAUGGACUCGCGGCUUAUCAGCUUGUUGGUGGGGUAGUGGCUUACCAAGGCUUUGACGGGUAGCCGGCCUGAGAGGGUGACCGGCCACAUUGGGACUGAGAUACGGACCAGACUCAUACGGGAGGCAGCAGUGGGGAAUAUUGCACAAUGGGCGGAAGCCUGAUGCAGCAACGCCGCGUGCGGGAUGACGGCCUUCGGGUUGUAAACCGCUUUCGCCUGUGACGAAGCGUGAGUGACGGUAAUGGGUAAAGAAGCACCGGCUAACUACGUG